rnacentral:misc_RNA from 1 species
UUUCCGUAGGUGAACCUGCGGAAGGAUCAUUAUUGGAUUUUGAAACUUCAGGCUGCUGCUGGCUCUCAUCGGAGGGCUUGUGCACGCUUGUUGUAAAUUAUUUCUCCCACUGUGCACAAAUUGUAGAAAUUCCAUUAGGCCUAUGUUGUUUUUCACAAUCACUGAAUUUAAUAGAAUGGUUUUGAUUCUUGGUAAAUACAAUACAACUUUCAGCAACGGAUCUCUUGGCUCUC